GUUUUGGGAACGCCUAACUAAAACGGUAGGGGAAUCAUCGGGGUAGGUGAAAAAUCAAGCGGCGUUGUUAUCGGGUUAACAUAAUCGAAGGGGACCGAUCUGGGUUUCGAUUGCACAGGAUUGGAGGCAACUCAUUCUCGAUUUUGGGUAUCCACUAUCCAUGAUUGGUGGUAUCAUAGGGUCGGAUCUAGCUUCCUAAAAUCACGGGUUCAGAGGAAUCGACAUUUAUGGAAUUGGAGGUUUGUCUUCCAAUAGAACGAUUUCUGAUUUGGGUUUCAAUAAUCCUUAAUAUUCAUCCUAAUGUUGCAUAUAUAGCUUCCAUUGAACGAGUUCAAAGGAAUCAUAGGUUUGUCUUUCAAUUGAACGAUUUCUGAUUUUGGUUUCAUGCAUACCUAAUAUUCAACCUAAUGUUGCAGAUCUAGCUUCCAUUGAACGAGUUUGGAAGAAUCGACAACUAAGGAAUCAUAGGUUUGUCUUUCAAUUGAACGAUUUCAGAUGAAAAUGUAAGUGAAUCAGAUGAAUAUUAAUUCUAUGAAAAAAAAUGUUUAAAAUUAAUUAUUUAGAUUUGAGAUGAUUUUCAU
rnacentral:lncRNA from 1 species